rnacentral:tRNA from 1 species
GGGCCUGUAGCUCAGUUGGGAGAGCGCAUGAAUCGCACUCAUGAGGUCGGCGGUUCGAGCCCGCCCAGGUCCACCA